CAGACUUCGGGAACGAAGCAGUGAAGAUUAGCCAUGAUUUUAACAAUCAAGGACGUUCUUUGAUGAGCGUAUGAAGACAUGGUGAGGUUAUUUUGAAAAUUAAGCUUGAACUGAGGAACGGCCAAUUCACCAGGAGAUGAGAAUGCACUUAGAACCCAUCCAGAUGAGGUAAACAGAUCGUAGUCAAGCGUUGCAUCGUCUUCCCUUGAAGAAAGAUCAGAAGAGCACAACAUUGACAAGAAAUCUCCAUGAGGGAGACAAAACACUGCGCUGAGAACCAUUGUCUGUAGAUUAAGAUUUAACAUCCCUCACACAUUAAAAUCACAGAUAAAGCAAAGGCAAGGGGAGUAAUUCAACAAAUACUUACAAAAUGUUUGGUGAAAAAACGUCGAAAAUGUGAGUCAUCCGAGAACACGUCAGCCAAGCGCAUAGCGUUAAGUAGCACAAAACCCAUUGGAUACUCAUGAGGAGGAGUACUAGCCUUGGAGGCUCUAGAAAGGCCAAGCCUCAUUAAUUCAAGAACCUAGAUUACAGAUAUAACAUCAUUAGAUAAGUCAACACUACUCCACUGUUUAAACAGAACCCUUAUUAGGACUAACCUUUGAGGCAACAGUUUGGGCUAAAUGCAAGCUUCCUGAACGCUCAACCUCGUCAAGGAAUGAGACACUUUCCGCCUCAAACAAAUGGUGCAACUGCACGAAACAUAAAACUUUUGGUAUGAGACUUACAGACAGUAGUAAAUAGAGGAAACAACUAUGCUAAGUUACAACAAAACUUACAAGUGAGAGGGCUUUUGCAUUUAUUCUAGAUAUGGAAGCUAUUAUUACGGCUGCUCCAACCCAUUCAGGAGUUAUAUAUAGUGAUAGUAUGGACUGAGCUAGCAUAAGAACACCACCUUUUCCACAUAGCUCCUGAAAAGAAUAAUACCAUAAAACCUAAUUCUGAGAAUCACUCUCCCAAACAUUAUUAAUCUAUCAUAGCGGUUAAAGAGUCAGGCAGUAGAGAAACCUGGUUUUUAGCGACACGGUCUCUAAACAGUUUGUGUUGGCAUAGAGAGUGAAGGAACUGCAAAGCAGCUUCAGCUUGUUGGCAGUGUGCGUUAACGGCCCCUACAGAAUUAGCACCUAGCUUCUUCGGUUGGUCGGCUUGCCGAUGCAGCAACUUCGCUCUUAAAGAUCUCACAACAUUAUGAACUGCUCCAAAAGCAGCGUCUAUAAACACAUCAACCUAGAUGAGAAACAUAACAAUCAGAUCAAAUGAAUCCCAAUAUCUCAAAGCACAAGCGUGAUCUUUCCAUAUAUUGGCAUUUCAAGGACACCUCAUGGUAAAAGGUCAUACCUUAGGGUGGGCAAGCAAGACUAUAACAAGAUCUUGGGAGUUAGGAGAGAUGAACCCGUGCAUCAGGUGAAGAGUAGAAGCCACCAUUGUAGCUUCUAUCAAUGAGUCAUAAUCUGAUUUCCAGCUUUCCUACAAGGAAGAGACCCUGUUAAGUUUCAUACGCUUUCAAUUUAAAACCAUUGUAGUGGCACAAGUCCCUUAUAUGUCCCAUAGAUCUAUACUCCAACACCCUCCCUCGAGAUAAUAACAAUUAAUUUCGACAUAAUCUAUCAGACACAGAGAGAGUAUUAUACCUUCCUAUUACCGCCGAGAGCUACCAUGGUAAAGAUCACAAGAUCAUAUGCAACCAACCAAAACACAAGUACACGGGGUUAACACUCAACCAUUCAUCAACAUUCAUUUCAAAUUCAACUCAACCUAGUACACAUAGUUCAGUUCAAAUUCAACUCUAGCUAGCACUCGAAUUGAUUAAGAUUGAGUGUUACCUUUUUUUUCAGUCGAAGCAUAGCUUCUCCAAGUCCGCGACCUGCACUGAGAGGUUAUAAACCUGCCCAGUGAGGUUAUCAACCUCUCCAUUGAGGGCUUUAACCUCUGCCUGGGCAUGGAAACAACAAUCACACUGUGUUAGUCAGUUAAUAAAAAAUGAUGGAAAAUAUUACAAAUUUAAAACAAAAUUUUGGAAGUCACUUUACCUCCAGUCUCUCAAUCUGAUUAUUGACCUUCGGCACCCACUUGAUCACCAGCUCAACCUCCUCCAUACGCUUAGUGAGGCGUUCGAUAUGCUCCUGGACACCAAUCACCCAAGGCUGACGGUAAUGAAACCCAUCAGCCUUGUUAAGCACAAAAACACAUGUGAGAAUCUCGUUAGAAACUCAAUUAAAUGGAAAUAAUUUAAUUGAGAAGAAGCGCUUACUUUGUAGUUUUUGCAGGUGAAGAACCGCUUCCCAGGAAGAGUGUCGUAGUCGUCCUUCCCCCGAACAUCGUCAAUGAUUCUCCCUCCGCAGGGACACCUCGUCGGAAUCCCGUAUUCUGAAUCUGCCACGUAUCCUUGCAUGUUGAUCAACUCCGUCUGCCUCUUUGUCUCUCUUCUCUCUUCUGCGGGAUCCAUCUGUACCAGAAAAAGCAAAUAUUAGAACACAAUAAACGGUAGAGCGUAACCAGAAACUCGUUUUGGAACCCUAAGUAGAAACCCCCAAAUCGAUUUCAAAUCCUCAAGAAACGAACCCUAAAUUGAACCCGCAUGGCGAUUAUUAACCCUAAAUCAAAACCCCCAUAUCGAUUUUGAACCCUACAUCAAAACCCCCAAAUCGAUUUUCAAUUAACCGAUAACCCUUUCGACCCCAAAUAGAUUCUAUGAAACCGUAAAAGUAGUUGAUACUCACCUCAGAUCGUUUACGAGAGUCUCCGACGUCGAUUCAAUCGAGAAAUUCUCCGGCUGUCGCGUCGCACGAGAUAUCGCCUCCCACAGAGAGAAACCCUAGCUUUCGAAAAAAGGAGAGAAAAUGAAUCAUCUCACGCGUAACCCUAUUUUUCUCCCUCUCGACGCGAAAACACGCGGCCAAUGCCUGUCCGACGCGUGGCUUGAACCCGUAUCAUACGGACUCACUCCAAAGAGACGGAUCACCCAAUUAAACUCAAUAAAACAUUUCUUUUUAUUUUCCGGGUCUAUAAACCCCAGCCCAUGAACUCCUAUUAAUCCGCUAAUGCGGAUGCUCUUAGGUAUGACUUUUACUUUUUGGACUUCUUAAUUUUAAUCUAUGUUUUUUAAAAAAUUGUUUCUAAAGAUAUAUAUUUUUUAAGUGAAUGAUAAAUUGUAAAUUUAUAAAAUUUAAUUGUGUUUAUUGAAUUUUAAUUGAUUAAAAAUUAAGAAAAUAGUUAAUCACAAAGAUAAAUAUAUUUAUAAUAACACCUUAAUAUAUUUUAUUAAUAUAUAUAUACGAGAACUCUUUUUUCUUUGGGUCAAAAUAUGUGAUAUAUUUUAGCCUUUUUAAAAUGGAGGGAGUAUUUAUUUGUCUAUGUAUAACAUUUUGGUUGAUCAUUUCCGUUUGAAACAUUCUUGAAAUAGUGAGAUGAUGCACAAGUUCUCGGAGCAACUAGUGGAACUGGAUGUAAUGGUGAGAAGAAUGAUAAUGGAGAGUUUUGGAGUAGAGAAGUACCUUGACGAGCAUCUAAAUUCUACAAACUAUCUCUUUCGAAUGAUGAAGUACACAGCACCUCCUGAUGAAGAUGUAGAAGAGGCAAAGCUAGGUUUACGUUCUCAUACGGACAAGAACAUCAUCACCAUACUUCAUCAGUAUGAAGUUGAUGGUUUGGAAAUUAUGACCAAAGAUGGACAAUGGAUCAAAGUGAAACCAUCUCAACAUUCUUUCAUCAUUAUGGUUGGAGAUUCUCUAUGUGUAAGUUCCUUCAAACUUCACACACAUGCACACACUAUUUAAAACAAUACUCAUUUGUUUGUUGAUCGAUGUUGCAGGCACUUUUGAAUGGUAGAUUGUAUUCUCCAUACCACCGAGUCUUGAUGGUGGCAAAGAAGACAAGGUAUUCGACUGCAAUGUUCUCUGUUCCAAAAUCAGGAGUUAUCAUAGAUUCACCUGAAGAGGUUGUCGACGAAGAACAUCCUCGUAUGUUCAAACCCUUUGAAUAUAUGGAUUUCCUUAACUUCUUUCACUCGGAAGCAGGUAGCAGAGUUGAAUCUACUCUCCAUGCUUUUUGUGCUCUCUAAAACAUUUAAACUUUUAUUCACAAUAAUGAAUGUAAUUGACUUCACAUUAUAUGGUAUAGGUUUUGUUCCUUUUUCUUUUCAUGUUUUCUGUAAUUUGAUAUGUUAUCACAUGCAUAUAUUUAAUUAUAUAGUUCAAAAACAAAUCAAUUUCUGAAAAAAAAACUCUAAUUAAUUACUUAUGUAAUUUAUGAAAGACUAGAAACACUUUUAGUAAGUGCUAUUUCCAAAUAAUCACUAGUCAUUAUGAACUUCAUUGUCUAAGGUUACUUGUUAAAAUUAAGAAAUGUACUUUAAAUAGCAUUAAAGUCAACUAAAGAAGAAAAGAGUCAACUCUUCCCACUGUUAUACUUAUUUUCAGUUAUUUGCUCUCAAAGUCUCAACCUUUACUUGUUAACAACCAGAGAGCGAGAGGGAGACAGAGUUCCUAAAAACAGAGAAUCUUUCGGGUUAAGACCAAAAGAGAAAGCUCUAAAGUCUAAACAACAGGUAAGAACAUAAAAAAAAACCUACUGGUCAGAUAUCUCAAUGCAAACCGAGUCUGUUACUGAAGCUUGCUCAUAUCCCAAGCCACUCUCAUAACACCAAACCUCGAGUUAGCUUCUCCAAAAGUCCUCCCAACAUCAUCAGACCCAUAAGGGAUGCUCAUCUUGCUAUAAUCAUAUAACCCACUAAGCUCCAUCACAUCAACCACGCAAACCUGUCUCGUCUCCAGGCUUAAACCGUACCACUCACCGUCCGUUUUCAAAACCGUUCCUUUACCGACCUCGACUCCUCUCUCGUCCACAAGCAUCACUUGCUGCCCACGCUUCAGCCCUUCUGACGAUGAUGCAGAAGCUUUAUCUGCAAAUGGUGUUGUUGGUUUCUGCUGCUGCUGCUGCCAAGUGUUUUCAUCUCCGGGACUCUCUGGUAAAUCCCCUGAGCUAUUGUUAUCACGUGAUGGCCCUUGCUUGCUUGCUGCUCGAGCUAGCUUUGCUUUUCUGUUAUUCAGCCUGACAACAACAACAACAACAAAAAAACUACCCCCUCAGUUCCAUUAAAAUAGAUGUUUUAGAAAAAAAAAUUGUUUCACGAAAAUAAUUUUUUGUGUUUUCAUUGAAAAAGUUUUAAACUUCAGGAAAAUUAAUCGACUUUAUUGAAUUAUUAUUGGGAUGCAACGUUAUUAAAAAUUCAAAAUUACAGAAGAUAAUACAUUUAUUAUAGCGAUUUAAUGUGUUUUAUUAAUAUGUACGAAAACAGUCAAAAUUCUAUCUUUGUGAAACAGAGGUAGUAAAAAUGUAAGAUUGAGACAUAGUGAUAGCUAGAGAGAGAGAGAUAGAAGCAGGUACCAGUUCUUCAGCUGUGCAGAUGUAACCUCAGGACCCUGCAAGCUGAGUUUAUCAGCCCAUGUCCGUAUCCAAGCCGAGUUCCGCUGCAUAUCAGGCUCAUCAACAAGCGCCUUCUCCAUCAUCGCCAUCUGAUCAUCACUCAUUAUACUCCGCUUCCUUUUGGUCCUCUGUUUCUCCAAUAAAAGAGAAGCUUCGGCUCUCUCAUCCUCCUUCACCUCUCCAGAGGAAGCGCUCACUUUAAGCCGCUUGGUGAAAGUGCGAGCCAAAUCUCCAUCUUCAGCCUGAUCAACCAGACCUUUCCCUCCUCUGUUAGAGCUUGUUUGUGAACCGCUGGUUUCGAGAUUGUCGCUUUCUUUGGACCGUUCAGCUGUUUCCAUCUCCUCCUUGUUCACGCCUUGCUUUGUCGCGGCACCUUCCGCUCGGACAUCAGAAUCCUCUGAAGCUUCGUCGUUGUUGAGAUUCAGAGGCUCUUUCCCCAGCUGCUUGCCAGAUGAACUCCCUCCCGCACCUUGAUUGUCCUAGAACAUAUGAUCGACAAGAGUAAAAUGUCGUUGCAGUUACUUGUAUCAGUUUAAAUAAACAGAUGCUCAUAAACAAAUGCAUACAAUUGUAACAAGUAACAACAAUGUACAAGAGAGUAAGUAGCUUUUCACCUUCACCUCAGCCUGACUUUCCUCAAACUCAGAACGGAUUAGCGGCUCCAACUGUUGACAGAACACCCUGCAGAAGACAGCAUCCCAAAAAAAUAUAUAUAUAUAUAUAUAUAUCAAUACAAAACAGCACCGCUCAAGAACUAUAGAAAUCUUCUUCAAUAUUGUCUUCAAGGUGAAACGUAGAAUGACUGAGAGAGGUUCAUUCACCUCAAAAUCAUUAAAUCUUCGACAUUGAGUGCAUUAGGGAUCAAGAACUCUGCGUGAUGCAACAGAGAACCUACAAAAAUACAAACAUCCAUCACAAUGAAAUCAACAAAACGAUGUGUAACAAGAAUGUGUGGGGAUAAAGGGGUACACACUUAUGUUUUUGCAAACACUAGUGCCUCUCUGAGCCUUCGGAGUAUAUGUAGAGCUUGGUAAUAGAUUAACCAGUAUGCUUGUGGGAUCCUUUCGCAAUCCACUCACAAACGUUUGAAUGAAACGGUUCCUGUCAUCUUCUGCAGGUUUCAACAGCAAAUCCACAUAGUGAGAAACAAAGGUACAAGCACAUGGUGAGGUUAUUUAAAAAUUCACCUGUGCAGACUUCGGGAACGAAGCAGUGAAGAUUAGCCAUGAUUUUAACAAUCAAGGACGUUCUUUGAUGAGCGUAUGAAGACAUGGUGAGGUUAUUUUGAAAAUUAAGCUUGAACUGAGGAACGGCCAAUUCACCAGGAGAUGAGAAUGCACUUAGAACCCAUCCAGAUGAGGUAAACAGAUCGUAGUCAAGCGUUGCAUCGUCUUCCCUUGAAGAAAGAUCAGAAGAGCACAACAUUGACAAGAAAUCUCCAUGAGGGA
rnacentral:lncRNA from 1 species